GCGGGCGUAGCUCAGUUGGUAGAGCGUCAGCCUUCCAAGCUGAGGGUCGCGAGUUCGAACCUCGUCGCCCGCU
rnacentral:tRNA from 1 species